rnacentral:rRNA from 1 species
CCUACGGGAGGCAGCAGUGGGGGAUAUUGCACAAUGGGGGAAACCCUGAUGCAGCGACGCCGCGUGUGGGAAGACGGUCCUCUGGAUUGUAAACCACUUUCCCCAGGGACGAAAAUGACGGUACCUGGGGAGUAAGCUUCGGCUAACAACGUACCAGCAGCCGCGGUAAUACGUAGGGACCGCGCGUUCUCCGGAAUUACUGGGUGUAACGCGGGCGUAGGCGGUGAUGCAGGUUGGGUGUCAAAACUACCGGCUCAACGAGUAGUCGCACUCGAAACUGUAUCCCUUGAGUGAAGUAGAGGCGGGCGGAAUUCCUAGUGUAGCGGUGAAAUGCGUAGAUAUUAGGAGGAACACCAGUGGCGAAGGCGGCCUGCUGGGCUUUUACUGACGCUGAGGCUCGAAAGUGUGGGGAGCAAACAGGAUUAGAUACCCUAGUAGUC